rnacentral:rRNA from 1 species
GACGAACGCUGGCGGCGUGCUUAACACAUGCAAGUCGAACGGAAAGGCCCUGCUUUUGUUGGGUGCUCGAGUGGCGAACGGGUGAGUAACACGUGAGUAACCUGCCCUUGACUUUGGGAUAACUUCAGGAAACUGGGGCUAAUAUCGGAUAGGAGCUCCUGCUGCACGGUGGGGGUUGGAAAGUUUCGGCGGUGGGGGCUGGUCUCGCGGCUUAUCAGCUUGUUGGUGUGGUUGUGGCUUACCAAGGCUUUGGCGGGUAGCCGGCCUGAGAGGGUGACCGGCCACAUUGGGACUGAGAUACGGCCCAGACUCCUACGGGAGGCAGCAGUGGGGAAUAUUGCACAAUGGGCGGAAGCCUGAUGCAGCAACGCCGCGUGCGGGAUGACGGCCUUCGGGUUGUAAACCGCUUUCGCCUGUGACGAAGCGUGAGUGACGGUAAUGGGUAAAGAAGCACCGGCUAACUACGUG